rnacentral:rRNA from 1 species
CUGACGAGUGGCGGACGGGUGAGUAAUGUCUGGGAAACUGCCUGAUGGAGGGGGAUAACUACUGGAAACGGUAGCUAAUACCGCAUAACGUCGCAAGACCAAAGAGGGGGACCUUCGGGCCUCUUGCCAUCGGAUGUGCCCAGAUGGGAUUAGCUAGUAGGUGGGGUAACGGCUCACCUAGGCGACGAUCCCUAGCUGGUCUGAGAGGAUGACCAGCCACACUGGAACUGAGACACGGUCCAGACUCCUACGGGAGGCAGCAGUGGGGAAUAUUGCACAAUGGGCGCAAGCCUGAUGCAGCCAUGCCGCGUGUAUGAAGAAGGCCUUCGGGUUGUAAAGUACUUUCAGCGGGGAGGAAGGGAGUAAAGUUAAUACCUUUGCUCAUUGACGUUACCCGCAGAAGAAGCACCGGCUAACUCCGUGCCAGCAGCCGCGGUAAUACGGAGGGUGCAAGCGUUAAUCGGAAUUACUGGGCGUAAAGCGCACGCAGGCGGUUUGUUAAGUCAGAUGUGAAAUCCCCGGGCUCAACCUGGGAACUGCAUCUGAUACUGGCAAGCUUGAGUCUCGUAGAGGGGGGU